rnacentral:rRNA from 1 species
UAAGACGAACCGGUCGAACGUUAUUCGGAAUUACUGGGCUUAAAGAGUGCGUAGGCGGCCUAGAAGGUGAGGUGUGAAAUCCCUCGGCUCAACCGAGGAACUGCGCUUCAAACCACUAGGCUUGAGGGAGACAGAGGUGAGCGGAACUGAUGGUGGAGCGGUGAAAUGCGUUGAUAUCAUCAGGAACACCGGUGGCGAAGGCGGCUCACUGGGUCUCUUCUGACGCUGAGGCACGAAAGCUAGGGUAGUGAACAGGAUUAGAUACCCUGGUAGUCCUAGCUGUAAACGAUGAGCACUUGUUCGGGGGGACCUCCACAUCCUCCUGGACGUAGCGAAAGUGUUAAGUGCUCCGCCUGGGGAGUAUGGUCGCAAGGCUG